UCCCAUCGUCAGUCGAACGGCAGCACGGGUGCUUGCACCUGGUGGCGAGUGGCGAACGGGUGAGUAAUACAUCGGAAUGUACCUUGUAGUGGGGGAUAGCUCGGCGAAAGCCGGAUUAAUACCGCAUACGCUCUGAGGAGGAAAGCGGGGGACCUUCGGGCCUCGUGCUACAAGAGCAGCCGAUGUCAGAUUAGCUAGUUGGUGGGGUAAAAGCUCACCAAGGCGACGAUCUGUAGCUGGUCUGAGAGGACGACCAGCCACACUGGGACUGAGACACGGCCCAGACUCCUACGGGAGGCAGCAGUGGGGAAUUUUGGACAAUGGGCGAAAGCCUGAUCCAGCAAUGCCGCGUGUGUGAAGAAGGCCUUCGGGUUGUAAAGCACUUUUGUCCGGAAAGAAAUCCUUUGGGUUAAUACCUCGGGGGGAUGACGGUACCGGAAGAAUAAGCACCGGCUAACUACGUGCCAGACCC
rnacentral:rRNA from 1 species